rnacentral:rRNA from 1 species
CAAAUGAAUGACGGGGGGCCCGCACAAGCGGUGGAGCAUGUGGUUAAUUCGAAGCAACGCGAAGAACCUUACCUGGCCUUGACAUGUCCGGAACCUUGCAGAGAUGCGAGGGUGCCUUCGGGAAUCGGAACACAGGUGCUGCAUGGCUGUCGUCAGCUCGUGUCGUGGGAUGUUGGGUUAAGUCCCGUAACGAGCGCAACCCUUGUCCUUAGUUACCAGCACCUCGGGUGGGCACUCUAAGGAGACUGCCGGUGACAAACCGGAGGAAGGUGGGGAUGACGUCAAGUCAUCAUGGCCCUUACGGCCAGGGCUACACACGUGCUACAAUGGUCGGUACAGAGGGUUGCCAAGCCGCGAGGUGGAGCUAAUCCCAUAAAACCGAUCGUAGUCCGGAUCGCAGUCUGCAACUCGACUGCGUGAAGUCGGAAUCGCUAGUAAUCGUGAAUCAGAAUGUCACGGUGAAUACGUUCCCGGGCCUUGUACACACCGCCCGUCACACCAUGGGAGUGGGUUGCUCCAGAAGUAGCUAGUCUAACCGCAAGGGGGACGGUUACCACGGAGUGAUUCAUGACUGGGGUGAAGUCGUAACAAGGUAGCCGUAGGGGAACCUGCGGCUGGAUCACCUCCUUAAGCUUGGAUCCCGGG